UGGGGAAUAUUGGACAAUGGGCGCAAGCCUGAUCCAGCCAUGCCGCGUGUGUGAAGAAGGCCUUUUGGUUGUAAAGCACUUUAAGCGAGGAGGAGGCUACUUGGAUUAAUACUCUAAGAUAGUGGACGUUACUCGCAGAAUAAGCACCGGCUAACUCUGUGCCAGCAGCCGCGGUAAUACAGAGGGUGCGAGCGUUAAUCGGAUUUACUGGGCGUAAAGCGUGCGUAAGCGGCUUCUUAAGUCGGAUGUGAAAUCCCUGAGCUUAACUUAGGAAGUGCAUUCGAUACUGGGAAGCUAGAGUAUGGGAGAGGAUGGUAGAAUACCAGGUGUAGCGGUGAAAUGCGUAGAGAUCUGGAGGAAUACCGAUGGCGAAGGCAGCCAUCUGGCCUAAUACUGACGCUGAGGUACGAAAGCAUGGGGAGCAAACAGG
rnacentral:rRNA from 1 species